rnacentral:lncRNA from 1 species
AAAAAUUUGUCAACUCCGAUUGAAUAUAUAUAUAUAAACUAGAUGGACCUACGUAUAAUUGAUGUUAAAGUACUGUGUUGCCGCCUGUAUGAUCGAUACCUUUUUCUUUUUUUUUUUUUCAAGAUUCCUCCCCAUGGGUUUCACAAUUUCAAUGCGGGGCCAACCCAUGCCCUCUACAGCUAAUGAUUUGGAAUCAUUUUGCAUUUAAAUUUUCUGGAAAACAAAAAUCUCCAUGACGGAUUUUCUGCUAAUUCCCUAUUUUAAUAACCAAAUUGUUCCCAAUUG